GAAAAGGAAAAUUCGGGUUUCAAGGCUCAAAGUUUAAUUUGUCAAUGUGGUACCAGAAAUCUCGACUAAGAAAGGCCAAGACAAAGUCAACGGGAGUUAGCUCGAAAAAUUACGGUUUAGUAAAGAUAGAACGUUGAAUCAGCAUCCCAGUUCGAUCCCGAAUUCAUUAAGGUAAAGUGUGUUAAUUAUUGGUAAUGGCAUGUACCUAGGAUGUUUUAUGAGAGUCAUUUAGGUUGUAGAUGUACUCAUGAAAUGAGUAAAUUAUGAUUGGCAACGGUAUGUAGUAUGAAUUUUGAAAUUUACUAAAAAUUCGUAGUGAUUCUAAA